UACGUAGGGUGCGAGCGUUAAUCGGAAUUACUGGGCGUAAAGCGUGCGUAGGCGGUUUUGUAAGUCCGGUGUGAAAUCCCCGGGCUCAACCUGGGAAUGGCAUUUGGGACUGCAAGGCUGGAGUGCGGCAGAGGAGACUGGAAUUCCUGGUGUAGCAGUGAAAUGCGUAGAUAUCAGGAGGAACACCGAUGGCGAAGGCAGGUCUCUGGGCUGACACUGACGCUCAUGCACGAAAGCGUGGGGAGCAAACAGG
rnacentral:rRNA from 1 species